UAUAAGUUUAGCCAAAAUGUUUGCUGCCCAAAUUUUAACUGUUAACUAUUGGAGACUUGACCGCUACUUCGAUCUCGCUGAAGCUGAUCGCCGAAUCUCUCAACUCCGAUUCCACAUUUUCCCGGUGACUUCACGGCGAGAUCUUUAAUCACGUUAAUUCAACCUGCACUCCAAAUUCUUUCAUAGUAUUUUAACAGGAACAGUUCUUUGAAAACAUGGGCACUGAAUAUCCUAAUGGUCCUGCCAUUCCCUCGAGGCCUGUUUCUCCCUUUAGUGUUCCACAAAGUUCAACACCCUUUCAAUCAUCUGGUCCAGUGGUUGGAUCCGAAGCUUCUGCAUUUCGGCAUGCUUCUCCUAGUUCUUCCCAGAUUACGUCUCUUUCCUCUGCAUCUGGCGCCAUGGUUGGAACUGAGGCCUCUGCUUUUAGAACAAUGCCAUCAGGUAUGCCUAAUGAUGCAGCUAGGCCACCUCCAACAUCUCCAUCUCCAUAUGGACCACCAGCUGCUGGGCCUUACCAACGCUUUCCAGCACCACAGUUUUCUUCUACAGCUGGGGUACCUCCACCACGCUCUUCACUUGCAGGCCAACCUGUUUUACAACCACCAGUUAGACCCGUUUCAGGUCCCUUCUCAACAUCUCAUGUUUCCCUUAAUCCCCAAAUCCAACCUCCUCAUGUUCCUAUGGGAUUCCCCCCUCAAAGUGCGAGCAUGGUGCAACCCGGUCCAGUUGUUCCUCGGUCACCCGUAGAUUCCCAGUUUUCUGCUGCCAGGGCGACCAUGCAUCCAUCUUCACCACCAGCAGGUCCAGCUUAUCCUGCUGCCAGACCCGGGUUUCAAUCUGCUUUUCCAGGGUAUAUAAGUUAUCAAAAUACAGCGGGUGCACAGGUUCAACCAAGACAAUCUUUAGCCUUUCCUUCUCAGCAAGGUGGUUAUGUUCCGACAAUGCCAGCAACAUCUAGCCCCUAUCUUGCCCAACAAGGAGGCUAUGCAGCUCCACCAUCAGUAGCAUCUCAACUGGGUAACUCAAGGGAACAAAUGCAGCAUCCCGGGUCUACACCUCCUACGGCAGUUAUGCAGGGUUUAGAAGAAGAUUUCAGUUCCUUCUCUAUUGGGUCUGUUCCAGGAUCAUUUGAUCCGGGGCUUGAUUCUAAAGUUCUACCAAGGCCAUUGGAAGGUGACCUGGAACGGAACACUUUGUCCGAGAUGUAUCCAAUGAACUGUAGUUUAAGAUAUUUGAGGCUAACGACUAGUGGUAUACCAAAUUCUCAGUCCUUGGCUUCAAGGUGGCACUUAACUCUUGGAGCAGUUGUUUCUCCUCUUGCUGAAGCUCCUAAUGGGGAAGAAGUUCCAGUAGUUAAUUUUGCCCGAACUGGCAUCAUACGGUGUAAAAGGUGCCGGAUUUAUGUAAAUCCCUAUGUGACGUUUACAGACAGUGGAAGAAAGUGGCGAUGUAACUUAUGUGCAUUGCUUAAUGGUGUUCCUGGCGAAUAUUUUGCCUAUUUGGAUGCCAGUGGCAGAAGAAUCGAUUUGGAUCAAAGGCCUGAACUUACCAAGGGGAGCGUGGAGUUCAUUGCUCCCACUGAUUACAUGGUCCGGCCUCCAAUGCCUCCACUUUACUUUUUCCUCAUCGAUGUAUCUGUAUCUGCUGUGAAGAGUGGAAUGCUCGAGGUUGUAUCACAAACGAUCAAGAGUUGUUUGGACAAUUUGCCUGGCUUUCCCAGAACACAGAUCGGGUUUAUAACUUAUGACAGUACAUUACACUUUUAUAAUAUGAAGUCAUCCUUGACUCAGCCACAAAUGAUCGUCAUGUCAGAUCUGGACGAUGUAUUUAUUCCGUUGCCAGAUGAUCUCCUUGUCAAUUUGUCGGAAUCAAGAACUGUGGUAGAUGCAUUUUUAGAUAGCUUGCCUUCAAUGUUCCAGGAGAAUGUAAAUGUGGAAUCAGCUUUUGGUCCAGCUCUUAAAGCAGCCUUCAUGGUUAUGAGUCAACUUGGUGGUAAAUUGCUGAUCUUUCAGCACACUCUUCCAUCAUUAGGUGUUGGCCGCUUAAGACUGCGAGGAGAUGAUCUUCGUGUUUAUGGAACUGACAAGGAGCAUACAUUGAGAACUCCAGAAGAUCCUUUCUAUAAACAGAUGGCUGCCGAUUUCACCAAGUAUCAAGUAGCAGUUAAUGUAUACGGUUUCAGCGACAAAUAUACUGAUAUAGCUACAUUAGGGACUCUUGCGAAGUAUACAGGUGGUCAGGUAUAUUACUAUCCAGGUUUCCAAGCUGCUGUUCACAAAGAUAAAUUACGUCAUGAGUUAGCCAGAGAUCUUACAAGGGAGACUGCUUGGGAGUCUGUCAUGCGUAUAAGAUGUGGAAAAGGUGUUCGUUCCACUACGUAUCAUGGGAACUUCAUGCUGAGAUCUACUGAUCUAAUGGCACUUCCAGCUGUUGACUGUGAUAAAGCAUAUGCGAUGCAGUUAUCGCUUGAGGAGACACUGCUUACAUCCCAGACGGUCUAUUUCCAAGUAGCCCUAUUAUACACUUCAUCUUCUGGAGAAAGGCGCAUUAGGGUGCACACAACAGCAGCACCUGUGGUCUCAGACUUAGGAGAAAUGUAUCGCCUGGCUGAUACGGGUGCCAUUGUUUCUCUUUUUACGAGGCUGGCUAUUGAGAAAGCUCUGGCCUCUAAAUUGGAGGAGGCUCGAAGUUUUAUUCAACUCAGGAUUGUGAAAGCUCUUAGAGAAUAUCGAGAUCUCCAUGCUGUCCAACACCGCCUAGGAGGAAGGAUGAUAUAUCCAGAAUCUUUAAAGUGCUUGCCCUUGUAUGGAUUAGCAUUAUGUAAAUCGAUAGCCUUCCGUGAUGGGCAUGCUGAUGCUCGGCUUGAUGAACGCUGCACUGCUGGAUAUACCAUGAUGGCUUUGCCUGUUAAAACAUUGUUGAAACUUCUUUAUUCUCAGUUGAUUCGUGUAGAUGAAUACCUUCUAAAGAAACCAUCUUUGGCUGAGGAUUCUAUAGACAUAUGGAAUGGACUUCCACUUGCUGCAGGGAGUUUAGAUCCUCAAGGUCUCUAUCUCUAUGAUGAUGGUUUUCGGUUUGUCUUGUGGUUCGGUAGGAUGCUUUCACCUGAUAUACUUAACAAUUUGCUUGGGGAAAACUUUGCUGCUGACUUCUCUAAGGUAAGAUGAUGGAAGCUAUGUAUCCACACAUUUAUUAGACUCCAUGUGCUGCCUAUCAACUUGAUGUUUGGUGACAUAUUCAAGGAAAACCCAUAUGCUUCAGGUAACUUUAAUAUAGUUAUCUUUAAAGCUUUAACUUUAUUUAUACUUAUGUCCUAUUAAGUAUUAACUAUAAAAUUGUUAUUGUUACUUUUCCAGUUUUCACUAAGGCCGUCAAGAUAUAUUCUUACAUCAGUCAGAGACCGUUGUUGAAUUUGAUGAGGAAAUUCACAAAUGAAAGAAAUUUGGUGAGACCGGCUAAGACUAGAUUUGCAACGACUUUCUUAACUUUGCAUAGUUUUUACUUGCAAAAGAAAAACUUGUGAAAGCUAGUUCUUUCAAAUGAAUGGAAAGAUAAUAGAUAUGCAAAGGAAGCUGCGGGGAAAGAAACUGCCAAAGUUCUUAUUUCUCCAUCAUUCUGGAAUGACAUCGUUCGGGCUCUUAAAGUUGGUGGUCCUUUGAUUAGGGUGCUUCGUAUGGUGGAUGGAGAGAGAACCACCAACGGGCUAUCUUUAUGAAGCUAUGAAUAGAGUCAAAGAGACUAUUGAAACGUCAUUUGAGGGAGAUGUUAGGAAAUAUGAGAAAGUUUUUGAGAUUAUUGAUAGCAGGUGGUCGAAUCAACUCCAUCGACCUUUGUAUGCAACAUGCCAUCUUCUGAACCCGGAAUUAUUUUACAAGAACACUAGAGAUGACACUUUGGAUUCAGAGGUGGGGGUUGGAUACCAUUAAUGUCUUGAGAAGUUGGUCCCCGAUUCAGCGAUGGUAGAUCAAAUAGGGGAGGAGUUUGGUAGGUACUCACAAACAGAUAGCCUAUUUGGUUUACAGGCGGCCAUUAAAGCAAGUGACAUGAGGUCGCGAGUUGAAUGGUGGAUGCAAUUUGGACAUCAAACUCCAAACUUGCAAAAGUUUGCCAUCAAAGUAUUAAGCCUAACUUGUAGUGCAUCUGGAUGCGAGAGAAAUUGGAGCGUAU